rnacentral:rRNA from 1 species
AUUGAACGCUGGCGGCAGGCCUAACACAUGCAAGUCGAGCGAGCGGCGGACGGGUGAGUCAUGUAUGGGGACUGCCCGCUAGAGGGGGAUCACUACUGGAAACGGUAGCUAAUACCGCAUACUAUCGGAUAACCCAUAUGGGUUUAGCUAGUAGGUGAGGUAAUGGCUCACCUAGGUGACGAUCCCUAGCUGGGCUGAGAGGAGUAUCAGCCACACUGGAACGGGGAAACGGCCAAGACUCAUACGGAGGCAGCAGUGGGGAAGAUUGCACAAUGGGCGCAAGCCUGAUGCAUCCAUGCGGCGUGGAUGAAGAAGGCCGGAGGGUUGUAAAGUACUUUCAGUCGGGAGGCGUUGCCGACAGAAGAAGCACCGGCUAACUCCGUGCCAGCCGCCGCGGUAAUUC